rnacentral:rRNA from 1 species
UACGUAGGGUGCGAGCGUUGUCCGGAAUUAUUGGGCGUAAAGGGCUCGUAGGCGGUUUGUCGCGUCGGGAGUGAAAACCAGGUGCUUAACACCUGGCUUGCUUUCGAUACGGGCAGACUAGAGUACUGCAGGGGAGACUGGAAUUCCUGGUGUAGCGGUGGAAUGCGCAGAUAUCAGGAGGAACACCGGUGGCGAAGGCGGGUCUCUGGGCAGUAACUGACGCUGAGGCACGAAGGCCAGGGGAGCAAACGGG